UACGGAGGGUGCAAGCGUUGUCCGGAUUUAUUGGGUUUAAAGGGUGCGUAGGCGGCUAUUUAAGUCAGUGGUGAAAUCCUGCAGCUUAACUGUAGAAUUGCCAUUGAUACUGGAUAGCUUGAGUACAGACGAGGUAGGCGGAAUUUAUGGUGUAGCGGUGAAAUGCAUAGAUACCAUAAAGAACACCUAUUGCGAAGGCAGCUUACUAGGCUGUAACUGACGCUGAGGCACGAAAGUGUGGGGAGCAAACAGG
rnacentral:rRNA from 1 species